AGUGGCGAACGGGUGAGUAACACGUGGGCAAUCUGCCCUGCACUCUGGGACAAGCCCUGGAAACGGGGUCUAAUACCGGAUAUGACUGUCCAUCGCAUGGUGGAUGGUGUAAAGCUCCGGCGGUGCAGGAUGAGCCCGCGGCCUAUCAGCUUGUUGGUGAGGUAGUGGCUCACCAAGGCGACGACGGGUAGCCGGCCUGAGAGGGCGACCGGCCACACUGGGACUGAGACACGGCCCAGACUCCUACGGGAGGCAGCAGUGGGGAAUAUUGCACAAUGGGCGAAAGCCUGAUGCAGCGACGCCGCGUGAGGGAUGACGGCCUUCGGGUUGUAAACCUCUUUCAGCAGGGAAGAAGCGAAAGUGACGGUACCUGCAGAAGAAGCGCCGGCUAACUACGUGCCAGCAGCCGCGGUAAUACGUAGGGCGCAAGCGUUGUCCGGAAUUAUUGGGCGUAAAGAGCUCGUAGGCGGCUUGUCACGUCGGUUGUGAAAGCCCGGGGCUUAACCCCGGGUCUGCAGUCGAUACGGGCAGGCUAGAGUUCGGUAGGGGAGAUCGGAAUUCCUGGUGUAGCGGUGAAAUGCGCAGAUAUCAGGAGGAACACCGGUGGCGAAGGCGGAUCUCUGGGCCGAUACUGACGCUGAGGAGCGAAAGCGUGGGGAGCGAACAGGAUUAGAUACCCUGGUAGUCCACGCCGUAAACGGUGGGCACUAGGUGU
rnacentral:rRNA from 1 species